GACGAACGCUGGCGGCGUGCUUAACACAUGCAAGUCGCACGGGAGCAGCAAUGCUCUAGUGGCGAACGGGUGCGUAACACGUGAGAAAUCUGUCCAUCGGCGGGGGAUAGCCGGCCCAACGGCCGGGUAAUACCGCGUACGUCGGCGAGAACGCAUGUUCUUGCCGGGAAAGCAGCAAUGCAACGAUGGAGGAUCUCGCGGCCUAUCAGCUUGUUGGCGGGGUAAUGGCCCACCAAGGCAACGACGGGUAGCUGGUCUGAGAGGAUGAUCAGCCACAUUGGGACUGAGACACGGCCCAGACUCCUACGGGAGGCGGCAGUGGGGAAUAUUGCGCAAUGGGCGAAAGCCUGACGCAGCGACGCCGCGUGUGGGAUGAAGGCCUUCGGGUUGUAAACCACUGUCGGGGGGGACGAAAUCAAUGACGGUACCCCCAAAGGAAGCACCGGCUAACUCUGUGCCAGCAGCCGCCGUAAAAC
rnacentral:rRNA from 1 species